GACGAACGCUGGCGGCGUGCCUAAUACAUGCAAGUCGAACGCAGUGGGGACGGGUGAGUAACCCGUGGGUAACCUCCCAUCAGAGGGGAUAACACUUUGAAACAGGUGCUAAACCGAUACUGAUGUAUGGACCCGCGGUGCAUUAGCUCGUUGGUGAGGUAACGGGUCACCAGGGCCACGAUGCAUAGCCGACCUGAGCGGGUGAUCGGCCAGACUGGGACGGAGACACGGCCCAGACUCCUACGGGGGGCAGCAGUAGGGAAUCGUCGGCAAGGGACGAAAGUCUGACCGAGCAACGCGGCGUGAGUGAAGAAGGUUUUCGGAUCGUAAAACUCUGUUGUUAGAGAAGCGGUAUCUAACCAGAAAGCCACGGCUAACUACGGGCCAGCAGCCGCGGUAAUAC
rnacentral:rRNA from 1 species